ensembl:lncRNA
GUGCACGUCUGUGUUCAACAACCACACAAGAGAGAAGGACAGUAGCCCAUGUCGGAAGAAUAGAAAAACCUUUAUUAUUCACAUGUAUGUGUCAUAACAAGCAGUUUAGGAGGAAAAGGGAGCAGGAGAGAAGCAAAUGUGUCGCCGGAGUGUGCUCAGUAAAUACUUUCAUCUGUUUCAGGUCAGCCUACAUACCUGCGAGGAAGAGAGGAGGAACAGAGAAGGCAAAGAGCUGCAUGGACGUGAGCGCAGUCGUCGCGAUGACAUCCUCGUCAGACAAGUUUUACCACACAGUGACAGCGGUGAAAGUUUAGACACCUCAGAACAGAAAAAAAGGAGCAAAAGGUGAGUUAGAUAAAAUAGUUUGUAUUCAGUCAAAAAAUAAAAUAUCACUGUACGGUUGACGUGCACAAACAAACAAUAAAGUGCAUGUCGCUGUUUCAUUCUGCGCCCCUGCCUUCUUUCUUCCUUCCAUCCAAUUUACCCUCUUUCUUCCUGUUUGCCGAGACAUUUUCCCCUCCGCUACAAAGCCGGCGUCAUGUUCAGAGCUUUUCUACAUAAGUGUUUCAUGUCACUCCUUUUCCCCCUAAAACACACUUGCCUAUUCCAUGUGUUCUUGGUCUUAUAUUUGGGUUUGAGAGUAGAUAGGUAACAUUAAAGAGCUAUCACUUUCUCUCUCUGUCAUUCCCCUCCUUCAUACACCAUUUGAUCUGAAGCCAGAUGGCUUUCAGAUGCAGACACGCACGCACACACACACACACACACACACACACACAAAAUACGUGCGCGCAAACACAUGCACCGGCACAAACAAUUUGCACACGCUUCCGUCUGACUGACAGAUAAACAGUUUGAGGGAACACACGUACACGCACGCUCAAACAUGUGCAAAAACACACCUUUAUCUCGCAAAGGCUUUUAUUUUGUGUAUUUCCUCCUAGCCAAACAUCAAAAGGCGAAUACCGUCUCACAGACAAACAACAAUAUUACAAUCCUCGGUACUCGACAAUGCCAUUUUCAAAUGCCCCACCCUUGACAACUUGUGGAAUGGGUUGAAGGGAAGGAGGAUUCAAACAGACAUGAAUACACAACAAAUACCACCUACAGCCAAUAAAAUAUGCAUGGCAGAGGACAUCUACCUUUAAACUGACUACUGUCAGAAUUAAUAACGCGCACGAAAGACACAGUGACUGUUUUCCACAGGUGUUUGUCUGCGUGUCUCCAUAUUCUAUUCUACCCAUGUUCUAUUUUUGCGCGUACGGAUGUUUGCAUGCUUGUGCUCUCAGAUACAACGCUGCUCAAUAAUGUAAUGUCAGAGUGCUCGAAAAGCUCGGAUUAUUAGAGGAGUUUCUUUGAGAAUUUUGUCAUAUUUUUGUUCACUUCUACAAAUUCUGACAACCGUGUAUAAUAUCUCAAAAUACGCUAACUUCUAAACGGGGCAUAAAUCAGUUCGACUACUGAGCAGAAUUAUAGCCACGCCGCAGAUGUCUCCGAAAUGUUCAAGUACAAAAUGUUCUGAAAGUCAAAAUUAAUGCACUUGGAUUUUAAAAAUGUGCCCAGGAAAAAAAACCUUGAUAUGUUAGAUCCCAAUAACUCAUCCUUUUUUUCUUUUACUCCUGCCUUUGUUCACUCUCUUUCUGAUCUGUAAUUGAAAAAGCAUUCCAUUUUUAUUUUUCACCGCUAUCCAAAGGCUAAAUCCAAAACACCAGCCAAGAGGUUAGCCUGGUCACCUGGCACCCACAGGCACUCUUUCUCCCAUUCUCUCUCUCUCUCUCUAUCUCGCACACACACACACUUAAAGGCACGGACAUACACACACCUGGCUGCUGUGCUUCAAUAAACUGUAAAUUCCUCCUCUGCGCCCACCGUACCCAAGCUAACCCUUUAAAAGUCACCCGCCUCCACCUUGUAAUGCAUGAACACACACACACACACACACUCACACGCACACACGCAUGCACAUACAUACUUACCCACAGUCACACACAACAGACAAGCCCAAACACACAAAAAAACAAUGUGGCUUAGUGGAUGGUAUCAAAUUUAGUGGCCACGGGGAUCUGGCUGGGGUCGUAAAUCUAUAUCUAACAUGUGAGAAAAGCUCUACAUGAAUAUCUGGAGACACAGGGGGAGAGGGAGACAGAGAGACAGACAGCAGGAUACAGAGCAAGAGACAAAGGGAAAGGAGGCAAAGUAAAGGGAGUCUUGUAGAGAAGGAGCAGAGGCACAGACAAACCGCAUCAGUAGGAGACAGGAAGCCGAGCGAGGUACAGCAGCGAAAUAAACAAAUGCAAGACGGGAGAGAGAAAGCGAGUGGGAGAGUGGGCGACAAAGCACAGCGGAGGAGAGGGGGAAUAAGAGAUAAAGAUAAACCGGCAGAGAGAGAAAUAGAAAGAUAGACGGAGCAAGAGAGUCACAGACGGAGGGUAUGACAGCGAGAGAUAUUUGGGCGGAGAGACCGAGCGAGGGAGAGAAGGAGGGCUGAGUGAGAGCCAGAGACAGACAGACAGACAGACGGAGAGAUACAUGACCCCUCUCUCUCUAACAAUGGCUCUUCAUGUGGUGCCCAGCUUAGCAGGCGAGCCGGUGGAAUCAGGAAUGUGGAAUGUGGGAUUUCAGGCUUGGAAGUGAUAGCUACUGUCUGUGUGUAAUAUUUAGGGCCGACACAGGGAGCCUCUGGCACGCCAUGAAACACAUGGACGCCAGUGCUCUCUCUGCUGCGAGUCGGUUUAUGUCUCAAGCAUGCGUGCGCAUACAUACAUACAUAUGGGCAAAAAAAGUGUCCAACAUUUGCGCAAAGAGUUAAGAUACGUAUAUAAUAUCGUUUAUAAUUUAAACGUCUAAGAAAAAACCUUCAUGUAUUUUUCCCUUCACUGAAUCGUCCCCCGUGUCAUAUUGUUUCCGUCAGUUUAAUCAUAGUUUGGACGACAUGCGGUUGAGGAAAUGUCCAGACGUUUUGCUUAAGCAAAAGUUGCACCGCCACAAAGUAAAAAUACUCAGCAUGUAAAGUGAAGUGAAAUCCUGCAUUUAACAUUUUUCUUCUGGGGGGAAAAAAAAAUAAGGUAAGUGAUAAUAAUGCAGAACUGAAUGUUAUAUGAUUAAAUACUGUUGCUAAUAAGGCUUCCACUCAGGAUCAUUUUUAUUAUCGAUUCAUCUUUUAGACUUUUUUCUUGAUUAAAUGAUGAGUUGUUGGCUCUAUAAAAUGUCCGAAAUUGGUUUAAACAAAAUUCAAAUAAAAAGAUAACAUCUUCGUCAAGAUGUUCAAUUAAUUCAAGAGAAUAAGAGGAGAAAAGAAAGCAGAAUAUAUUCACAUUUAAAAUGUAUUUAUUUUCUUCUUCAAACUGAGUUGUUGACAACAAAACAAUUCAUCUUUGCAGCUGUGUUAUUAUAAACAUAAAAGUAUUAUUCAUACAUAGAUAUGUAUUUGAAUGGUCCAAAUUAGGUUAAUUAAUAAAAAAUAUUGUUUAAUUUAUAAAAUGCAUCAUACUUAAUUUGUUGAUAAUAUGAAAUUGCUAACUGACUAUAGCUGUUGAAAUAACAAUAUUUGAGGAGUAUAGUACACAGUUGGUAAGUAGAAUAAGAUUGUACACUACACUUGACUUCAUAUACUCCAUACACAUCUGCUGUAGGAGGCCUAUCAUAAAG